UUUACCAAGUGACGACCAACAGCGGCAGCAAUGGCUUGCGACAGUCCUGUCACGACUCUGGCAAGGUAGAAAGCUGGAGAACAUUCGGUUCUGCGAACGGCAUUUCACACCUUCCGACUACGUGAUACACCCCUCUGUGUCACGACGACUCGGACGGCAGCCACAGAUGUACCGCCUGGAGAAGACGGCAGUUCCUUCUUUGAAUUUUGCUGCAGCUGCAGAGGCUGAUCGUUACAUGGAAGUCGAGGACUCCCAAGUUGACUGGCCGGAAGUAGUCACAUCUCGUGAGUCUCAGAUGACUACAACUAGCCAAGCUGCCUCAUUAGUGGAACCUUCCCACCUGGACCUUCCUGUUGGACAUG